AGUGGAAUUGCUGGGUCGUAUGAUCACACCACAUUUAAAUUUGAGGAAUUGCCAAACUGUUUCCCAAAGUGUACCAUUUCGCAUUCCCACUAGCAAU
rnacentral:pre_miRNA from 1 species